rnacentral:lncRNA from 1 species
UUUAUCAAGUAAUACAUUAAAAUUGGAUGCAAAAACAAGUGAAACAAAUGAAUUCGAUGCAUUAGUAUCAAUCAAAACAUGAGCAAGAUGGUUACAGAUAGUAUACAUACCCUAUACCACGUCCGGGUCGGCUUCGGCAUCCUGCUAGGUGAUGUUGUAAGCCCUGCCCUAGAUAGGAGGUCUUCCCUGAUUCUGGUUCUUUAGGCACUCUCUCGCAUAGUGUUGGGCACUACCACAUAUGCGAUAGAUGUUGUUGAGGCAGUAGCAUGGUCGGUCCCCGUGAUCCCUGCC